rnacentral:rRNA from 1 species
UACGUAGGGUGCGAGCGUUAAUCGGAAUUACUGGGCGUAAAGCGUGCGCAGGCGGUUAUUUAAGUCAGGUGUGAAAGCCCUGGGCUUAACCUAGGAAUUGCGCUUGAGACUGGAUAGCUUGGAGUGCGGCAGAGGGAGGUGGAAUUCCACGUGUAGCAGUGAAAUGCGUAGAGAUGUGGAGGAACACCGAUGGCGAAGGCAGCCUCCUGGGCCAGCACUGACGCUCAUGCACGAAAGCGUGGGGAGCAACAGG